CAUUGGUUGUGCAGAUUAUAGUGCUUGAGCCUGCCUUGAGCAGUUCAUGAAUAUCACUGAGGAUUCAGGGGCAAAACAUCAGUCUUCAAUCAGAGGAGGUCUGGCUUGCUUCAUCUGGAAGCCUAGUCUGGUUUGAAUGGAGCAGUUCUGUUGAAAUCUGUAUGUUUCUACAUCACAUGCUUUUCAAAUUGGCAUGUUUGUUCGUGUAUCCAUGUGGUUUACCUGUGCUAGUCAGCUGCCAGGUAUGCCGUGUUUAUGCAGAUGGCUAGUUAUAGCUCAGUUCAUUAAAACUAACAAAACAGAGCCCCUGUUUUGAGUGUUAAUGGCUAUCUUUCCUCAUUCUGUGGGUGUAUGCUAUAUUGUAGAGGCCAACCUUGAGUAAACAUCAAGUCUGUUCUCUGGGCUGUGUGACUCAGAAUCCAUUGUUGGUUCUUUCCCUUCCAGGUGUGUCCAACUGUACCUUCUGGCUGUGGCAGCCCAGGGAAGGCUUGCUGCAGCUCCCUCCCCAGCUCGCUCCAGGGCAUAUGGUCCUGGGGAGAUCCUGUUGUGAAUGUAAAAUUCCAAGUUUUACUCAGCUAUGUAGCCCAGACUGGUAUUGAACUAUCGGCAAGCUUCCAGCCUUAGUCUCCUGAGUCCUGGGGUUACAGACAUGAGCCAGCACAUCUGGGUCUCAUUCCUUCUUUUUAUAUAAGGGACUUGAGCGUGAGGUGUUUGGAAUCUGAAGGGCCCUGGAGCCAGCCUUUCUACAGGUACCAGGAAUGUCUGAGCCUGUUAUCAGCAUCCUCUGACUCUCACCUUGAUCUUGGAAAUUGUCUUAGUCAUUUUUCUGUUGCUGUGAUGAGACACCAUGACCAAGGCAUUUUAUAGAAGAAAAUGCUUAUUAGGACUUGGAGUUUCAGAGGGUUAGAGUCCAUGACUGUCACAGUGGGUGGGGAGCAUGGCAGCAGGCGGGCAUGGCACUGGAGCAGUAGUUGAGAGCUCUUACCUUGAGGGAGAGAGAGAGGCCAACUGAGAAUGGCUUUUGAAACCUCAGAGCCCACCCCAGGGACACACCUCUCUAAUCCUUCCAGGUCCCAUUUUCAUUUAAACCAUCAGGUCACACUGUUUUUUUAAGGCUCAUCUCUGCAGAGCUGUGUUUCUCCACCUGUGGGCCCUGACCUGUUCACAGGGGUUGCAUAUCAGCUAUCCUGCAUAUCAGAUGCUUACUCGAGGAUUCAUAACAGUAGCAAAAUUACAGUUACGAAGUAGCAACAAAAU
rnacentral:lncRNA from 1 species